CAAUUCCUUUUGGAUUGAAGAUUGUCAGUAGACAGUCAACAGUCAGAAUCAACUCGGUCUGAUGCCCUUUGGGGUGUUGGGUCUGUAUUUUUUUACGGAGAGUUUGAUCCUGGCUCAGGACGAACGCUGGCGGCGUGCUUAACACAUGCAAGUCGAACGAUGAUGCCCAGCUUGCUGGGUGGAUUAGUGGCGAACGGGUGAGUAACACGUGAGUAACCUGCCCCUGACUCUGGGAUAAGCGUUGGAAACGACGUCUAAUACUGGAUAUGAUCACUGGCCGCAUGGUCUGGUGGUGGAAAGAUUUUUUGGUUGGGGAUGGACUCGCGGCCUAUCAGCUUGUUGGUGAGGUAAUGGCUCACCAAGGCGACGACGGGUAGCCGGCCUGAGAGGGUGACCGGCCACACUGGGACUGAGACACGGCCCAGACUCCUACGGGAGGCAGCAGUGGGGAAUAUUGCACAAUGGGCGAAAGCCUGAUGCAGCAACGCCGCGUGAGGGAUGACGGCCUUCGGGUUGUAAACCUCUUUUAGUAGGGAAGAAGCGAAAGUGACGGUACCUGCAGAAAAAGCACCGGCUAACUACGUGCCAGCAGCCGCGGUAAUACGUAGGGUGCAAGCGUUGUCCGGAAUUAUUGGGCGUAAAGAGCUCGUAGGCGGUUUGUCGCGUCUGCUGUGAAAUCCCGAGGCUCAACCUCGGGCUUGCAGUGGGUACGGGCAGACUAGAGUGCGGUAGGGGAGAUUGGAAUUCCUGGUGUAGCGGUGGAAUGCGCAGAUAUCAGGAGGAACACCGAUGGCGAAGGCAGAUCUCUGGGCCGUAACUGACGCUGAGGAGCGAAAGCAUGGGGAGCGAACAGGAUUAGAUACCCUGGUAGUCCAUGCCGUAAACGUUGGGCGCUAGAUGUAGGGACCUUUCCACGGUUUCUGUGUCGUAGCUAACGCAUUAAGCGCCCCGCCUGGGGAGUACGGCCGCAAGGCUAAAACUCAAAGGAAUUGACGGGGGCCCGCACAAGCGGCGGAGCAUGCGGAUUAAUUCGAUGCAACGCGAAGAACCUUACCAAGGCUUGACAUACACCGGAAACGGCCAGAGAUGGUCGCCCCCUUGUGGUCGGUGUACAGGUGGUGCAUGGUUGUCGUCAGCUCGUGUCGUGAGAUGUUGGGUUAAGUCCCGCAACGAGCGCAACCCUCGUUCUAUGUUGCCAGCGGGUUAUGCCGGGGACUCAUAGGAGACUGCCGGGGUCAACUCGGAGGAAGGUGGGGAUGACGUCAAAUCAUCAUGCCCCUUAUGUCUUGGGCUUCACGCAUGCUACAAUGGCCGGUACAAAGGGCUGCGAUACCGUAAGGUGGAGCGAAUCCCAAAAAGCCGGUCUCAGUUCGGAUUGAGGUCUGCAACUCGACCUCAUGAAGUCGGAGUCGCUAGUAAUCGCAGAUCAGCAACGCUGCGGUGAAUACGUUCCCGGGCCUUGUACACACCGCCCGUCAAGUCAUGAAAGUCGGUAACACCCGAAGCCGGUGGCCUAACCCUUGUGGAAGGAGCCGUCGAAGGUGGGAUCGGUGAUUAGGACUAAGUCGUAACAAGGUAGCCGUACCGGAAGGUGCGGCUGGAUCACCUCCUUUCU
rnacentral:rRNA from 1 species